rnacentral:rRNA from 1 species
CCUACGGGAGGCAGCAGUGAGGAAUAUUGGUCAAUGGACGAGAGUCUGAACCAGCCAAGUAGCGUGAAGGAUGACUGCCCUAUGGGUUGUAAACUUCUUUUAUAAAGGAAUAAAACGAGGCACGUGUGCCUUUUUGCAUGUACUUUAUGAAUAAGGAUCGGCUAACUCCGUGCCAGCAGCCGCGGUAAUACGGAGGAUCCGAGCGUUAUCCGGAUUUAUUGGGUAUAAAGGGAGCGUAGAUGGGUUGUUAAGUCAGUUGUGAAAGGUUGCGGCUCAACCGUAAAAUUGCAAUUGAUACUGGCAGUCUUGAGUACAUUUGAGGUAGGCGGAAUUCGUGGUGUAGCGGUGAAAUGCUUAGAUAUCACGAAGAACCCCGAUUGCGAAGGCAGCUUACUAAACUGUGACUGACAUUGAUGCUCGAAAGUGUGGGUAUCAAACAGGAUUAGAUACCCGGGUAGUC